CUUCUGUGAACCCUUUACCACUUGCAAAAUUAUUUAUUUCCAGACUUUUUUUUAUUUAUGACUUGAACAUCAAAACGUCAAAGAAUAAAAUUACACAACUGUAUGUUAAAAGAACAUUACACUAUUGUACGAAAAUAUAGUUUCAUCGUUGCAAUAUCCUAACACAAAAUUAGAAAGACCUGCAUUUUAAUUGAACCUUUUAAUACCAAUAAAUUUUUUUUUUUAGAAAAGAAAACCAAUAAAAAAAUAUAGAAAUUGCACUGCAUAUACAAAGAUAACUAGUAUAUUUGCGGGAAUGGAAUUUAACAUUUCUCGCUGAUGUGUUUUUUAUUGUCUGUAUUACCCCUAUUCAUUAUACAAAACACUUCUUGUUUCGAAAACGACCAUUUCAUCUCUCAUCUUUCCCAUUCUCAUUGUUUACUCCGCCGAAAUUUUCUGUUAUUUAUCUCUCUCCUCUCUCCAAAUUCUCUCAUCCUCUCUUUUACAGAACUUUCAUCUUCACCGUUUGCAUGUAUUCGGAUUUUCACCGGACAGAGGAAUAAGAAAAUGUUUCGAAAAAAGAAGAUGAUUGGUUCAAAUAUAUUUGACCCUAAGACAGAGAUGGACUCAAUUUUCUCUCACCAUGGUUCAUCUCCAAAUGGUGAUUUCGGUUCUGAUUUCAACCUCAGGAACUUCUCAUCGAAAUCAUAGGUGGGCCGUCGGAUUCUAAGUCCUAUGGUGAAGGUUGCACGAGGAUUCUCAUUCGCUCCCACCGACUCUGUAUCCCAGAUCCUCUCGCCUACUUCAAGGGUCUAUAGCUGGAGGGUCCAAAGGCUUGUAAAGUACCAGUUUCCAGCAAAAAUCUUAUAAACAUUACAGAGAGGACUAGACCAGUUUCAGCCAAGGUCUAUAACCGUUGGUGGCAUUUCAGUUCCCAGCAAAGAUCUUAUAGGUACUUCCAAGAGGACCAGACCAAAAUUUAUAUCAAUAACAAGUUUUAGUUUAGCCGUUUUUAUCUAGAGAUAUUCCCUCAGGUGCUUUCGGUUGUAAAGCAUAAAUAUGUGAUUAAUUAACUGGCUCCAAAUGUAUUUAUCCAAUCAUAGUAUAGUUUAGCUUUUUAUCACAUAUUCACAAUUACUGGCUAACAUUGGAUAUCAUUAAGAGAUCUCAAGGUUCAUACAUCAUUAAUGGGUUUCAUUCU